AGUGAACGCUGGCGGUAGGCCUAACACAUGCAAGUCGAACGGCAGCACAGUAAGAGCUUGCUCUUACGGGUGGCGAGUGGCGGACGAGUGAGGAAUACAUCGGAAUCUACUUUUUCGUGGGGGAUAACGUAGGGAAACUUACGCUAAUACCGCAUACGACCUACGGGUGAAAGCAGGGGAUCUUCGGACCUUGCGCGAUUGAAUGAGCCGAUGUCGGAUUGGCUAGUUGGCGGGGUAAAGGCCCACCAAGGCGACGAUCCGUAGCUGGUCUGAGAGGAUGAUCAGCCACACUGGAACUGAGACACGGUCCAGACUCCUACGGGAGGCAGCAGUGGGGAAUAUUGGACAAUGGGCGCAAGCCUGAUCCAGCCAUACCGCGUGGGUGAAGAAGGCCUUCGGGUUGUAAAGCCCUUUUGUUGGGAAAGAAAAGCAGCAGGUUAAUACCCCGCUGUUCUGACGGUACCCAAAGAAUAAGCACCGGCUAACUUCGUG
rnacentral:rRNA from 1 species